GGUUUUGGGGGGUUUAGAGUUAUCCCCACCUCUGUCGAAACCUCACUUUGGGGGGUCUGGGUGCCACGCGGGGCCUGUGGGGGUCCAAGGCUCGCGGCAAGGGGAGCCCAAAAUGCUGAGCUCGUCCUUCAUCCCCACACUGGGGUGAUGAGGAUGAGGGGGAGACGGACCUGGCUGCGCUUCGGGCGCCACAAUGGGAUCAGGGAAUGGGAUCACUGGGAUCACUGGGAAUGGGAUCACUGGGAACGGGAUCAGGCGGGGAAUGGGAUCACUGGGAUCACUGGGAAUGGGAUCAAUGGGAUCACUGGGAAUGGGAUCACUGGGAAUGGGAUCACUGGGAAUGGGAUCAAUGGGAAUGGGAUCGGUGGGAACGGGAUCACUGGGAAUGGGAUCAGGCGGGGAAUGGGAUCACUGGGAACAGGAUCACUGGGAACGGGAUCACUCUGGCAAUGGGAUCACACCGGCAAUGGGAUCACUCUGGCAAUGGGAUCGCUCUGGGAACGGGAUCACAUCGGCAAUGGGAUCGCUCUGGCAAUGGGAUCACUCUGGGAAUGGGAUCGCUCUGGGAACGGGAUCACUCUGGCAAUGGGAUCAUGGUGGCAAUGGGAUCACUUUGACAAUGGGAUCAUGGUGGCAAUGGGAUCACUCUGGCAAUGGGAUCACUCUGGCAAUGGGAUCACACCAGCAAUGGGAUCACUCUGGGAACGGGAUCACUCUGGCAAUGGGAUCAUGGUGGCAAUGGGAUCACUCUGGCAAAGGGAUCACUCUGGCAAUGGGAUCACUCUGGGAACGGGAUCACACCAGCAAUGGGAUCACCGGCAAUGGGAUCAUUCUGGCAGUGGGAUCACACUGGCAAUGGGAUCACCGGCAAUGGGAUCAUUCUGGCAAUGGGAUCACACCGGCAAUGGGAUCACUCUGGGAACGGGAUCACUCUGGCAAUGGGAUCACACCGGCAAUGGGAUCACAGCAGCAAUGGGAUCACAGCAGGGCUCACACAGAGCUCAGCCGCCACCAGACCAUCCCGAGGGGCUCCCCAAAAUCUCUGCCCAGGGGGAAACAGAGCCACGUCCCCCCGCCGUG
rnacentral:lncRNA from 1 species